GGGUAUUACGGUACAGAGUCAGUGUGGAGGCUAUAUACAGGGUGUUACGGUACAGAGUCAAUGUGGAGGCUAUAUACAGGGUAUUACGGUACAGAGUCAAUGUGGAGGCUAUAUACAGGGUAUUACGGUACAGAGUCAAUGUGGAGGCUAUAUACAGGGUAUUACGGUACAGAGUCAAUGUGGAGGCUAUAUACAGGGUAUUACGGUACAGAGUCAAUGUGGAGGCUAUAUACAGAGUAUUACGGUACAGAGUCAAUGUGGAGGCUAUAUACAGAGUAUUACGGUACAGAGUCAAUGUGGAGGCUAUAUACAGAGUAUUACGGUACAGAGUCAAUGUGGAGGCUAUAUACAGGGUGUUACGGUACAGAGUCAAUGUGGAGGCUAUAUACAGGGUGUUAC
ensembl:lncRNA